UCCCGCUCCGAAUGCUCCNAAUUAUUUUUUGAUCAUGGCUCAGAUUGAACGCUGGCGGCAGGCCUAACACAUGCAAGUCGAGCGGAUGACGGGAGCUUGCUCCUUGAUUCAGCGGCGGACGGGUGAGUAAUGCCUAGGAAUCUGCCUGGUAGUGGGGGACAACGUUUCGAAAGGAACGCUAAUACCGCAUACGUCCUACGGGAGAAAGCAGGGGACCUUCGGGCCUUGCGCUAUCAGAUGAGCCUAGGUCGGAUUAGCUAGUUGGUGAGGUAAUGGCUCACCAAGGCGACGAUCCGUAACUGGUCUGAGAGGAUGAUCGGCCACACUGGGACUGAGACACGGCCCAGACUCCUACGGGAGGCAGCAGUAGGGAAUCUUCCGCAAUGGACGAAAGUCUUGACGGAGCAACGCCGCGUUGAGUGAUUGAAGUGCUUUCGGGUCGUAAAACUCUGUUGGUUAGGGAAGAACCAAGGUUGCUAAGUUGAAUUAAAGCCUGGCACCUUGACGGUACCUAACCAGAAAGCCACGGCUAACUACGUGCCAGCAGCCGCGGUAAUACGUAGGUGGCAAGCGUUAUCCGGAAUUAUUGGGGCGUAAAGGCGCGCGCAGGUGGUUUCUUAAGUCUGAUGUGAAAGCCCACGGCUCAACCGUGGAGGGUCAUUGGAAACUGGGAG
rnacentral:rRNA from 1 species